rnacentral:rRNA from 1 species
ACGGAAGGCAGCAGUGGGGGAUAUUGCACAAUGGGGGGAACCCUGAUGCAGCGACGCCGCGUGAGUGAAGAAGUAUUUCGGUACGUAAAGCUCUAUCAGCAGGAAAGAUAAUGACGGUACCUGACUAAGAAGCACCGGCUAAUACGUGCCAGCAGCCGCGGUAAUACGUAUGGUGCAAGCGUUAUCCGGAUUUACUGGGUGUAAAGGGAGCGCAGACGGCAUGGCAAGCCAGAUGUGAAAUGCGGGGGCUCAACUCCUGAACUGCAUUUGGAACUGUCAAGCUAGAGUAUCGGAGAGGUAAGUGGAAUUCCUAGUGUAGCGGUGAAAUGCGUAGAUAUUAGGAGGAACACCAGUGGCGAAGGCGGCUUACUGGACGAUAACUGACGUUGAGGCUCGAAAGCGUGGGGAGCAAACAGGAUUAGAUACCCUGGUA